rnacentral:rRNA from 1 species
AGCGAACGCUGGCGGCAGGCCUAACACAUGCAAGUCGAACGGACCUUUCGGGGUUAGUGGCGGACGGGUGAGUAACACGUGGGAACGUGCCUUUAGGUUCGGAAUAGCUCCUGGAAACGGGUGGUAAUGCCGAAUGUGCCCUUAGGGGGAAAGAUUUAUCGCCUUUAGAGCGGCCCGCGUCUGAUUAGCUAGUUGGUGAGGGGAUGGCUCACCAAGGCUACGACCAGUAGCUGGUCUGAGAGGAUGACCAGCCACAUUGGGACUGAGACACGGCCCAAACUACUACGGGGGGCAGCAGUGGGGAAUCUUGCGCAAUGGGCGAAAGCCUGACGCUGCCAUACCGCGUAGAUGAUGAAGGUCUUAGGAUUGUAAAAUCCUUUCACCGGUGAAGAUAAUGACUGUAGCCGGAGAAGAAGCCCCGGCUAACUUCGUGCCAGCCGCCGCUGUAA